GACAAUCCCGCUCGCUGUUCGUGCCAGCUCAUGUUUGGUUCGAAGUGAGCUCGAGAUUGAAUCGCUCAUUGAAUAAACGAAUCGAACACAAGCUGCAUUUUUUAGCUCAUUGAAUAAAUAAGUCGAACAUAAGCUGAGGUCAACUCACUCGUAUUCGGCUUGAUAAUAGCUCGAAUACUUUUUUUUUAUAUUUAUGUAAUUUAUUUAUUUUAUAUUUAUAUAUAUAAAUAAAUAAUUAUAUAUAUAAUAUAAAUUUUUAUUAUUUAAUUUUUAGUCUAAUCUAAAUAUAAAAUUCAACUCAAUUAUUAAAAAUCCCAUUUAUAUGUAAAAUUUAAGCACUUACAUCAAAAUCUAAUAAAUAAAAUCUAAAAAUUUUAUUUGCUAUAUAUAUUCUUUCUAAUUCUUUUAAUUUAUUAUUAGUGAGCCAGCUUGUGUUCAUCUUGUUAAUAAACGAGUCAAGCAUGAGCUAAAUUUUUUGGUUCGAUGCUUUAACGAAUU
rnacentral:lncRNA from 1 species